AUAGUGUGUGUGUGUGUGUGUGUGUGUGUGUGUGUCUGUCUGUCUCUUUCUCACACACACACACACACACACUAUCU